GGGGCUGCACUGGUUUCGACGUGGGUUCGGGCACGCAGCAGGGCAUGUCGAGGUUCUGUCACCUCGUUAAACCGCAGAAAAAAAGUAACUGCAAACGACGAACGUUUCGCACUCGCCGCUUAAUCCGGUGAGCCUUGCAACAGUUGGCCGAUAGGCUGGGCAAGGGGGCGUAAGCCUCCCGGCUGCAAGGGAAUUCAUAUCGGCUGGUCUUUCUCCGGGUGCCUUGGGGAGGGACGAGACCUAAGGGCACUGGUCUGAUGCGCAGCGUGUCGCUGCGCGGCGCAUCGGGCGAGACACAAAUCAGACGACUACACAUGUAGAACUGCGCGAAGAAGGCUUGCGGACGGGGGUUCGAAUCCCCCCAGCUCCACCA
rnacentral:tmRNA from 1 species